ACGAACGCUGGCGGCGUGCUUAACACAUGCAAGUCGAACGGAAAGGCCCCUUUGGGGGUACUCGAGUGGCGAACGGGUGAGUAACACGUGAGUAACCUGCCCUUGACUUCGGGAUAACUUCAGGAAACUGGGGCUAAUACCGGAUAGGAAUCCUUGCUGCAUGGUGGGGGUUGGAAAGCUUCGGCGGUUUUGGAUGGACUCGCGGCUUAUCAGCUUGUUGGUGGGGUAGUGGCUUACCAAGGCUUUGACGGGUAGCCGGCCUGAGAGGGCGACCGGCCACAUUGGGACUGAGAUACGGCCCAGACUCCUACGGGAGGCAGCAGUGGGGAAUAUUGCACAAUGGGCGGAAGCCUGGUGCAGCAACGCCGCGUGCGGGAUGACGGCCUUCGGGUUGUAAACCGCUUUCAGCAGGGGCGAAGCUUGUGGUGACGGUACCUGCAGAAGAAGCACCGGCUAACUACGUG
rnacentral:rRNA from 1 species